rnacentral:sRNA from 1 species
UAGCUGAUGCUUUUUCUGAGGGCUGCG